rnacentral:rRNA from 1 species
CCUACGGGUGGCAGCAGUGAGGAAUAUUGGUCAAUGGACGAGAGUCUGAACCAGCCAAGUAGCGUGAAGGAUGACUGCCCUAUGGGUUGUAAACUUCUUUUAUAAAGGAAUAAAACGAGGCACGUGUGCCUUUUUGCAUGUACUUUAUGAAUAAGGAUCGGCUAACUCCGUGCCAGCAGCCGCGGUAAUACGGAGGAUCCGAGCGUUAUCCGGAUUUAUUGGGUUUAAAGGGAGCGUAGAUGGGUUGUUAAGUCAGUUGUGAAAGUUUGCGGCUCAACCGUAAAAUUGCAAUUGAUACUGGCAGUCUUGAGUACGGGUGAGGUAGGCGGAAUGCGUGGUGUAGCGGUGAAAUGCUUAGAUAUCACGAAGAACCCCGAUUGCGAAGGCAGCUUACUAAACUGUGACUGACAUUGAUGCUCGAAAGUGUGGGUAUCGAACAGGAUUAGAUACCCGUGUAGUC